UACGAAGGGGGCAAGCGUUGUUCGGAAUUACUGGGCGUAAAGGGCGCGCAGGCGGCUGAUCAAGUCAGAUGUGAAAGCCCCGGGCUCAACCUGGGAAUAGCAUUUGGGACUGGUCGGCUAGAGUUCGGGAGAGGAGAGUGGAAUUCCCAGUGUAGAGGUGAAAUUCGUAGAUAUUGGGAAGAACACCGGUGGCGAAGGCGGCUCUCUGGACCGAUACUGACGCUGAGGCGCGAAAGCGUGGGGAGCAAACAGGG
rnacentral:rRNA from 1 species